GACGAACGCUGGCGGCGUGCUUAACACAUGCAAGUCGAACGAAGUGGCGAACGGGUGAGUAAUACGUGGGUAACCUGCCCUCCUUUUUGGGAUAAGCCUUGGAAACGGGGUCUAAUACCGAAUUAAGGGGGAUGGGCUCGCGGCCUAUCAGGUUGUUGGUGGGGUGAUGGCCUACCAAGGCGGUGACGGGUAGCCUGCAUGAGAGGGUGACAGGCAACAUUGGGAGGUAGAUACGGCCCAGACUGCUACGGGAGGCAGAACUGGGGGAUAUUGCGCAAUGGGCGUAAGCCUGAGGCAGCGACGCCGCGUGGGCGAUGAAGGCUUUCGGGUUGUAAACCUCGUUCGCUGUCGAACGGGGAGGUGGAGAAGAAGCGCCGGCUAACUACGUGCCAGCAGCCGCGGUAAUUC
rnacentral:rRNA from 1 species